GCAGCAACGGCUCCCAAGGAACUUUCUGCUAAGUGUGUGAAGGCCAGAGCUCCUGCUGACUUUUGCUCGGGACCACCACCAGCUGAGAGUCUGGACAGUCUUUCCACACAUGGGCCAAUACACACCACCCUCCCCCUAACCACCAACCCUCUGUCACCGAUGCCCACGGAACAGUGACUGGAGGGCUUCUCAGGAGAAGACAUCGGGUCUUUGUCCUUUCUUUUUCAUCGUAACUACCUGACCACAGAUGUUGCCCUUGGAAGGGACUAGAAGCCUGCCCUGUGGGUAAAGGGUAAGACGGGGUUUGGGGCAGGGAGAGCCCUGCGUACCCUAUCCAGCCGGCUCUCGUCCAUGGACUUCGAGUAUUCCUUGAGCUUGUACUCUUCCCGUUCGAUGUGGGCGCUCUCGAUGUCAGCUGACAGAUGAGGCAUGUUGGAGACCCAGGCCACCGUUCGCUCGGAGGCUGGCAUCGUGGGGUUCAGUGUGGAUGGCGUCUGAGAAUGCUGGGACGGGGCGAGGUGGGGGCAGAAGGAGAGAGGGAAGGUGGGAGGAGGCAGAGUGCUUUUAGAGGGAGGGAGCACUGCCCAAAGAGACGAGAGUCCCCUUCCUGUCCCCCACACUAGAUGAGAGUCCUCAGCCUGUCCCCUGCACUAGCACCCAUCACCUCGUGAAAGCUAUACUAGUUAUUCAUCACAUCUCCCCUCAGGAGCCCCAUGAGGGCAGGGAGUUUUGUCUGUCGUUCAAUGCCAAGUGCACAGUGCCUAGAACAGCAUGUGGCGCCAAAGCAAGCCCUCUAUGAACAUUUGUUUAAUCAAUGAAAGGAAGUGAGAAAAUUGUAACUUCAAACCACAGUCUCUGUUCUACCACCCCCCCAACCCGUUUCCUUCUUCCCUCCCUGCUCUUCACCCCUCCGGCCUUCCUCCCACCCCCACCUACCUGCUUGGUGAUGGAGGGCUUGAGCCCCCCACCCCCUCCGCCGCCGCUGCCCCCGCUGCCCCCAAUGCUGCCCUCUUUGCUGAGGCUCUGCUGCCGCGGACGGGCAGGGCCAUAACUUGGCUCCGGCGACUGCAACAGGUUCCCGCUGGACGGCCGGGGUUUCUGGGCAGCGCUGACUGUCAACUGCUGAGACUUGCCCCUCUGCAACGGAGGCGGCUGGCCCCCGCCACCCCCGCCGCUGCCCCCACCGCCGCUCCCACCUCCAGGCCCUGGGGGAACGGGCCUCUGGGGACCAAUGGUGAUCUGGGGAGGAGACAGCAUGUGCUGCAGGUUGUCCUGGAGUGAGAGCUGCCGACGGGUGAAGUCAGUGCCAGAGGGUCCAAACUCAUCACUGUAGCUGUGGCUGUGGAGGAUGGAAGCAGCGGGGGGCUUGGGGACCCCUGAGGAGAGGUCUUCGCUCUUGCUAUAGCCAUGGAAUGGGGCGAAGGUGUCCCCUGGGGGCUCUCCACCUCGGUGGUGGUGAUGGUGGUGAUGGUGGUGAUGGGAGGAGGGUGGACCGUGGCCUCCGCCCCCUCCGUGGCCCCCUGGGGGGCCUGGCCCAUCAGCAGCCAUGUGGAAGAGAGGAUUCUGGAAGGAGAGGGGUAUGCGCAGUUGCUGGGCAGGGACACCGUCCGUGGUGACGCCCAUCUGGCUGAGACGCAUGCCGGCCGCCGUGAUGGAUGAGCCGCUCCCCUGGGAGAGGCGGCCAGCAGGUGCGGGCCGCAGCCCCAACGCCGCAGUCAGGGAGGCCUGGCUCGAGUGCAGCAGGUCCCCUACGGCUGCCAGGUUGGACACACUGCUGCUGUUGAGGCGGCCACCGGGCCCGUCACCCUGCAGGUCCAGCAUGGAGACGCUCUUGUUGACACUCAGCAUCUUCUGCUCCGGUUCUGUGAUGUCCGAGCUGCUCGUGCAGUACGCAGUGUGUCCAGGUUGGAGAUCUCGUACAGGAACUGCUGCAUGGAACCCCACUCCAGCUCCAGAAACUCGUUCAUGAAGCCCAGAAAGUCCUCCUUUGAGGUAAACCUGGCCAAAGCAUCCAGAAGGUACAGGUCACACCCAGAAAGCCUCCAACCCAUGCCUGUCUCUAGGGACUCGGGAGACCCUUCCUGCCCACUCCAGCCCCGUCUGACACCCAGCCUGAGGCUUCCCUCACUUGGAAAAGUUGGCCAGGUUCUGGAUGACCUUGGCGAUGAGGGUGAGGGUUCGCGAGGUCUGCUCAUCUGGGUACUCCUGCAUGAGCCCAAAGAGACUGGGUGACAUGAUGGCCGGGCAGAGGAAGCGCAGGAAGAGCGAGGCGCUGAUCAGCCGGUCUGCGAUGUCCUCCCGGCCCCUCUCUGCGCAGCGCAGCCGCCAAGACGCAAACACCUCCUUCAGCUCCCUCGGGAACACGCUGAGGGGACGGGGUGGGGAGACAGAGAGAGAGAGAGAGAAAGAGAGAGACCGGGACUGAGCCCCAGAGACCCUCAGCUUCCACGGAACAUGCUGAGGGGGGUGGAAGGAGGUGAGGGUGUGGAACCCUCACAGAGGUGAAAGCGAC